UACGAAGGGGGCUAGCGUUGUUCGGAUUUACUGGGCGUAAAGCGCACGUAGGCGGAUAUUUAAGUCAGGGGUGAAAUCCCGGGGCUCAACCCCGGAACUGCCUCUGAUACUGGGUAUCUUUGAGUCCGGAAGAGGUGAGUGGAAUUCCGAGUGUAGAGGUGAAAUUCGUAGAUAUUCGGAGGAACACCAGUGGCGAAGGCGGCUCACUGGUCCGGUACUGACGCUGAGGUGCGAAAGCGUGGGGAGCAAACAGG
rnacentral:rRNA from 1 species